UACAGAGGUCUCAAGCGUUGUUCGGAUUCAUUGGGCGUAAAGGGUGCGUAGGUGGCGGGGUUAGUCAGGUGUGAAAUCUCGGGGCUCAACCCCGAAACUGCACUUGAUACUGCCUUGCUAGAGUACUGGAGAGGAGAUUGGAAUUUACGGUGUAGCAGUGAAAUGCGUAGAUAUCGUAAGGAAGACCAGUGGCGAAGGCGAAUCUCUGGACAGUCACUGACACUGAGGCACGAAGGCCAGGGGAGCAAACGGG
rnacentral:rRNA from 1 species